UUUCAUUACAAUUAACGCUCGACAGUCCACUCUUUCACACACUCUCUAGAUUUCUUCUUUCUUUCUCUCUCCUCUUCGUCGUCGCUCCGGCGCUCCAACGGGAAGUUCGGGGAGGGUUUGGUGUGGCGGUGGGAGCUGGAUUUGGGCCGGAAGUUUUAGGAAUUGCGAGAUUCUUGAACUGGGUUUGUACGGACAAGUCAUGGUUGGGUUAGGGUUUUGAGGCUGAGAAGUGGUGGUCACUCUGUUGGAGGACUCAUUGUUUCUUCAAUUCAUAGCGAUUUUCUGUAUUGCAAGGGAAAAUGGAAUAUUAGAGGGUGGAUCUGUUCCGAAGGAUGAUGUUUCAGUGCCAGGGUCUCUUAUGCGAGCUUAAAAUAUUCUGAUGAUUUGUUUUUUGAAUGCGAAAUUGGAUAUAGAUGUAUGAGAAUUAGAUAAGGUCUUGCUGGGCUGUGUUUGGUUGAUAUAGAUUGCACUUGGUUAAACAGUGAAAACUCAAUUGAAACAUCAAAGAAAUGUUUAAAUCUCAAAUUUAGUGCAUUUGGGUAUGAUUUGCUUGUGUGUGAGGGAAAGGAGUUCAGUUAGUUUAUACUGUUGGAAUUGAUGAGUAAAAUGUGGGGGUUUGGUUGUGUUGUUAGAUAAAUCUACCUUGAGUUGGUGAUUCAGUCCUUCUGGUUGGUUAACCACAGAACUAGAGGUGUGCUAUCUGCAGAUAGAGACAUUUAAUAUAUUGAUUAAGAAUUGGUGUGACUGACAUUCAAUACUGGGUUUGUUAAUUAGAUAAUAGUGUUAGUGGCUUUUGAACCAUGAUUUGCUGGGGUUAGCUAUGGCAUGAUUUGAGGACUUUCAAAUGGUCACCAGAUCUAUUUGCAGAAAAACAUUUGUUACAUCCUGAGACAAAGUGGCUGUGAUGUUGCUCAUGUGUUGAGGAAAGAGAUAGCAUUCUAUGCAUCAGUUAUCUGAAUGUUGAUAUACAUCUUUCUUGAAUGGACUAUGAAAUUCUCUUCAAUUUUAUAUUCACCUACAGGGUCACUUGUUUAUUACCAUGGAAUUGAAAUGUCAAUAUGCACCAUGCUAUCAUCUUGCAUGGAUGCCAUGCUGUCAAUGGAUUAGUUAUUGAGGUUAGCAACUUUAUGUGAUGGUGAAAACCAGUCUCGUGCCCUAAGGUUUAUUAGUGUUCUCUACUAUUUCAUUUAUAUUGACAAUUCAAUGCACAGGAUACAAAAUCUGUCCAAUUUUUUUUUUAAAAACAAAUAAGAUAUUUCAUUAGAAUUUCAUGGAAUUUUCAACAUCAGUCUUGUAACCACUUUCAAACCUUGUACUUAGAAUAACAUAACGCCAUCAACAAAAAUAGUAGGCUUGAUAUGUAUAUAAAAGUUGUUUGAAGCUAAAACACAUAUUGCUUGAGUGGAGAUUACCCAGGUAUGGUUACUAUGUCUUCAAUGUUUCCAUUAAAACCUUCUUCUUCUCUGUUUAUCUUCUCUUCACUGCCCUUUGUUGUGCAUGGGUUGGCAAGCUCUGCAACUUAUUGCUCCUAUUCUGCUUUGUGGGUGUCAUUCUCUUGUUGAGCCUCGGACUUUGCAGUUUCGUUUGGAGUCCUACUGGUGUUUAGUCGUUUUUGUCCAUUAUUUAGCACUCCAUUUGCUUCUGUGGAUCUGCUCUUGCUCGUGUAUUUGAGCAUAAGAAUGUCUGUUUCUUGGGUAUGUUGUAAAAGUGUUUGAAAUAUUGAAAAAAUUUCGGGGAUUUUUCUCUGAAAUUUCUCUUAUUGGCCUGCUCUGACACGAUAUUCAUCGGAAAAUUUUGGUAAUUUUUCGGAAAUAUCACUGAUAUAUUUUUACCGAUUUUUUGGGGAAUUUCCCGAUGUUUCCUACCAGUCCAGCCCACGCACAGGAUACAAAAUCUGUCCAUUUUUUUUUAAAAAAACAAAUAAGAUGCUAUUUGGUAAUCUGAUCAUGAUUUGCAGGCAAAGGUUGUGUUCUUCGCCUAGCUCAAAAAUCGUGGAUUUAGGGUACGUGAAAUUUAAAUCCUGUGGCAUAAAAGCAAAGAGACCCCUAGACCAGAUCUAGAAAACACAGGGAGCAAAAUAAAAAAAGCAUUUUUUUUGGUUCUCCUUGGGGUUUUGCAUGGAUUUUCUUGGGAAUCAAACGGGGUUGCAAAAAAAAGAAAAAAGAAAAAAAUAAAUAACAUGAUUAGAUAAGUACCUGCAAGGAUUGAGAGUGGCAGAGGAAAAUAGGGCCUUGAUUCUCUCGUCUGGAGGGCAACUUCAGAAAAGGGCUUCUUGAUGCCUCGAGUGAGAGAAGUGGGUGGCCCUAGACAACUGAUUGUCACAACCUGUUUAAAUGAUUCUUCAAUUGAGCUUUUAUAAGAGUAGGAAGCUUUUAGAACCACUUGGAGUCAUCUAUGUAUCCCUACCAAUGGGGAAGUGUAGAGAAUUUUAGAGAAGCUUGGAGACAUCACUUGUAUGUGAUGUGGAGUAUUAUGGAAUGUUUUAGAAAAUUCAUGGGAACUCUUGUACAUGACUUGUAUGUAACAUUUGUAUAGGGAUUUCUAGAAAAUUUUAUAAAUGUAUAGGGAUUUCUAGAAAAUUUUAUAAAUGUAAGGAGCAGGGUUCCAAAAAGUUCUCUUGGUGCUUAUAAAUUUGUGUUAAACUAAUUUGGUGAAGGUGCUAAGCACUUGAGAGUCUUGCAAAGCUUUCUUGCGUAAAAGCUUCCAUUCUUCCAAACUCUUCAAGUGUGCAUCAUUUGUUUGUCCUCUACCUUAUGAGUAUAAGCAGCAAAGUGUAAGUAGCUUUGCUUAGCAUCGACAGAUAAGACCGGGGAAAGAUUGACUUAGAAACUUUUAAGAGACUUAAUUAUCUAAGUGUAGUAUGCAAGUUUAAGAAAUAUUUAAAGUCUAUGACAAAUGGCAUUAGAGCAUAGUUACGAGUUAAGUAUAACAACAAAGGAAGAAUAAUGAAAACAAUGAAGAAGAGGGUGUGAUCUUUGUAGUUAUGAAUUUUUUUUAUUCAUUUUCUUGAUUCUUGUAUCCAUAUCCUUUAUCAAGAUUGUUUCUAGGAUUUUUUAUUCAUCUUCCGUUUAUUUAUUUAUUUAUUCUAAUUUCCAUUUUUUUAAUUUCAAAUAUGUACCAUUUAUUCCACAUUAAAUCUUCACUACAUCACAUUUAUAAAUUAUUUUAAUCCGUACAUUAAACUUCUUAAUUUUACUUUUAUAAUUAAAGCCUAUUACUCCACUCGGUUAACUUUUUCUUUUAAAACUUUUAUAUUAUUAGGGUUACGUUUGGUAUCAGGAAAAUUUGAGAGAAAAUAUAAGGGAAAGGAAAUAAGGAGAAAAAAUGAAAGGAAAGAAAAAAAAUGAAGGAAAACAAAAAAUAGAUUCAAAGCCAAUAAAUUAUUUUAUAUUUUUUUAAAACUCAUUUUACUUAUUUUCUUUGAUUAUAUAAAAGAUUAAAUGAUUUUAAAAUGUAUAAAUUUCUAAUUAAUUUUAAUUAUAUUUAAUUUUUUAAAUAUUUUUUAUAAUGAAAUCAAAUAGGCAGAAAAUCAUUUUCCUUAAUAAUUUUUUCAGGAAUCAAACAUAACCUAAGUUUUUAAAAUUCUAAAUUAAAUUUGUUGACUUUUGAUUUAUAAAUUAGAAACUGCAUAGAAAUAGGAAAUAAAAUUCGUAUUUGAGUUGAAAUGAAUUUUAUAUUUUAGGUUGAAAAAUUAUAAAGUUGUUUGAUUAAAAGGAUAUUUGAAAACCCAAUUCUUGAAAUUUAACCUCUUACCCUGUUUUCGGUAUCAUUUGGAUAAAAACAUCUUCAUUAUUUUCCUAUAAAAAUAAUUAUCUUUUUUAAAACUUAUAUGUAAAACUUGAAAUGAUAAUGUUUAUGUUAAAAAUGAGUUAUUUUUUAAGAAAAAACAUGAAAAAUAGUUAAAUUCACCAUUUGAAAAUUAUUUCAUAAAAAUUUCUAAUAAAACAUUCUUUAUAACAUAAUAAUAUAUGAGAUAUUUUUGUGUCUAAAGUCAUAUUUAUAAUUUUAUUUUGUGAAAUAUUUUGGGUUUUGAUUCAAACAUUUUUUAUACAAUAAUCAACUCUAAAUCACUUUUUAAAUUAAAUUCAUUUUUUUUUUUGCAAAAAAAUAUUCAAUUUGUUGACUUUGGCCUGACUAUUACAAACUUUUUUAUCCAAUUGUUUCUGUAUGACUUGUGUGUAAUAUAUACAAACUGCAAGAGCAAUGAAGUAAGGAAGUGGAAUCAGGCAGAUUUCUGAGAAUACAUUCCGAAAAUACACAGAGAAUCACAAUAGUGAAGGAGGAAAAAUCCGCUUGCUGAAUGUGUUAACCGGACCGGGAAGGUGUUGACUGGAAGGAUGUGCUUUACUUUCUUUCCUGUCACAGGCACCAUGAUCAAGAAAGUUACGGAAAUUGCAGAAUAGAUUGUCAAAACUGAAAAAGAACUGGGUAGAGAAUUCAGACAAGCAUAUUAAUUCUUUGUGCUAGUGGGUAUAUAAUUUCUUUCUUUGUUUCUUUGCUCUUGUAAAGAUUCCACAGGAGAUGAGGGAUAAGUUUCUAGAGUGGAAGACAUGAAGAAGGAUGAUAAAAAUAAUGACCACUCAGACCCUUCUUUCGAGUCAUUAAAAAAGGCUGUACAAAAAUGCAGAGAAAAUAGGGAGUGUUUAAUGAGACAAAAAGCUCUCCAGAGGGGAUUUCUGGAAGAAGAACCUCAGAAACGUAUGGGAAUCAGCGAUGAUGAGGAAAAGGAGAGAAUCAGGAGAAGUAAUAUUGGGCUCAUCGUUCAAUUGGAAUGGGAGAAGUUGGAAAUGGAGAAGAAACGGAGGAUGGGGCAGAUUGGAAUCGGCCAUGAAGAAGAAGAAGAGGAGCUAAGAAAAACGGAGACUUCCCCAAGAUUUCAAGACUCGAAUAAUUCUAAGAUUGGAGUCGAAGAUUCUGGGCGGAAGAGGAGGAGAUGCAUGGGUGUGAAGGUACUGCAAAUACCAGCUAAGUAGACUUCAACAACAAUAAUAUUCUGGUUUUUUCAUGCAAAGUGUUCUUCAUUCAAUGGUUAUUCUUAGGGUUUCUUCUUUUGGGGUUUUCUGAAAGAUUUGUUCCAGUAUCAGUUUUUGAAGUGGAGAUCUAGCUAUGUCAUGCUGAUUGAUUCUUGGUGAAUAAAUAGUCUGUAGUUUUCAUUAA